CCCAGUUCCUACAGGAAAUGAACCAUUUCUCAAUCUCAACAAACCAGUCCCUACAGGAAAUGAACAUUUCUCAAUCUCAACAAACCAGUCCCUACAGGAAAUG